rnacentral:rRNA from 1 species
UACAGAGGUCUCAAGCGUUGUUCGGAUUCAUUGGGCGUAAAGGGUGUGUAGGUGGCGCCGUAAGUCGGGUGUGAAAUUUCGGAGCUUAACUCCGAAACUGCAUUCGAUACUGCGGUGCUUGAGGACUGGAGAGGAGACUGGAAUUCAUGGUGUAGCGGUGAAAUGCGUAGAUAUCGGGAGGAACACCAGUGGCGAAGGCGAGUCUCUGGGAUGAUGCUGACGCUGAGGCGCGAAAGCCAGGGGAGCAAACGGG